ACUCCUACGGGAGGCAGCAGUGGGGAAUAUUGCACAAUGGGGGAAACCCUGAUGCAGCCAUGCCGCGUGUGUGAAGAAGGCCUUCGGGUUGUAAAGCACUUUCAGUAGGGAGGAAGGUAGUGUAGUUAACACCUGCACUAUUUGACGUUACCUACAGAAGAAGCACCGGCUAACUCCGUGCCAGCAGCCGCGGUAAUACGGAGGGUGCGAGCGUUAAUCGGAAUUACUGGGCGUAAAGCGCAUGCAGGCGGCCUGUUAAGUCAGAUGUGAAACGCCCGGGGUCUUAACCGUCGGAAUUGCAUUUGAAACUGGCAGGCUAGAGUCUUGUAGAGGGGUUAGAAUUUCGAGGUGUAGCGGUGAAAUGCGUAGAGAUCUGAAGGAAUACCAGUGGCGAAGGCGGCCCCUGGACAAAGACUGACGCUCAGAUGCGAAAGCGUGGGAGCAAACAGGAUUAGAUACCCCGUGGUAGCGACUGA
rnacentral:rRNA from 1 species